GAUGAACGCUGGCGGCGUGCCUAAUACAUGCAAGUCGAGCGAACGGACGAGAAGCUUGCUUCUCUGAUGUUAGCGGCGGACGGGUGAGUAACACGUGUAUAACCUACCUAUAAGACUGGGAUAACUUCGGGAAACCGGAGCUAAUACCGGAUAAUAUUUUGAACCGCAUGGUGCAAUAGUGAAAGACGGUCUUGCUGUCACUUAUAGAUGGAUCCGCGCUGCAUUAGCUAGUUGGUAAGGUAACGGCUUACCAAGGCAACGAUGCAUAGCCGACGUGAGAGGGUGAUCGGCCACACUGGAACUGAGACAGGGUCCAGACUCCUACGGGAGGCAGCAGUAGGGAAUCUUCCGCAAUGGGCGAAAGCCUGACGGAGCAACGCCGCGUGAGUGACGAAGGUCUUCGGAUCGUAAAACUCUGUUAUUAGGGAAGAACAUAUGUGUAAGUAACUGUGCACAUAUUGACGGUACCUAAUCAGAAAGCCACGGCUAACUACGUG
rnacentral:rRNA from 1 species